rnacentral:rRNA from 1 species
UACGUAGGGUGCGAGCGUUAAUCGGAAUUACUGGGCGUAAAGCGUGCGCAGGCGGUGCGCCAAGCUCGAUGUGAAAGCCCCGGGCUUAACCUGGGAAUUGCAUUGAGGACUGGCGUGCUCGAGUGCGGCAGAGGGGGGUGGAAUUCCACGUGUAGCAGUGAAAUGCGUAGAGAUGUGGAGGAACACCGAUGGCGAAGGCGGCUCACUGGACCGGUACUGACGCUGAUGCGCGAAAGCGUGGGGAGCAAACGGG